rnacentral:rRNA from 1 species
GACGAACGCUGGCGGCGUGCUUAACACAUGCAAGUCGAACGAUGAAGGAGGAGCUUGCUCCUCUGGAUUAGUGGCGAACGGGUGAGUAACACGUGAGCAAUCUGCCCUUGACUCUGGGAUAAGCGCUGGAAACGGCGUCUAAUACCGGAUACGACCCUCGGAGGCAUCUCCUGCGGGUGGAAAGAACUUCGGUCAAGGAUGAGCUCGCGGCCUAUCAGCUUGUUGGUGAGGUAAUGGCGCACCAAGGCGACGACGGGUAGCCUGCCUGUGAGGGUGACCGGCCACACUGGGACUGAGACACGGCCCAGACUCCUACGGGAGGCAGCGGUGGGGAAGAUUGCACAAUGGGCGCAAGCCUGAUGCAGCAACGCCGCGUGAGGGACGACGGCCUUCGGGUUGUAAACCUCUUUUAGCAGGGAAGAAGCGAGGGUGACGGUACCUGCAGAAAAAGCACCGGCUAACUACGUGCCAGCAGCCGCAGUAAGAC